rnacentral:rRNA from 1 species
UGCNAGNNGAGCGAGAUCUUCGGAUCUAGCGGCGGACGGGUGAGUAACGCGUGGGAACGUGCCCUUCUCUACGGAAUAGUCCCGGGAAACUGGGNUUAAUACCCGUAUACGCCCUUUGGGGGAAAGAUUUAUCGGGAGAAGGAUCCGGCCCGCGUUGGAUUAGGUAGUUGGNGGGGUAAUGGCCUACCAAGCCGACGAUCCAUAGCUGGUUUGAGAGGAUGAUCAGCCACACUGGGACUGNGACACGGCCCAGACUCCUACGGGAGGCAGCAGUGGGGAAUNUUAGACAAUGGGNGCAAGCNUGAUCUANCCAUGCCCGCGUGAGUGACGAAGGCCCUAGGGUCGUAAAGNUCUUUCGCCAGGGAUGAUAAUGACAGUACCUGG